GACGAACGCUGGCGGCGUGCUUAACACAUGCAAGUCGAACGGAAAGGCCCUGCUUUUGUGGGGUGCUCGAGUGGCGAACGGGUGAGUAACACGUGAGUAACCUGCCCUUGACUUUGGGAUAACUUCAGGAAACUGGGGCUAAUACCGGAUAGGAGCUCCUGCUGCAUGGUGGGGGUUGGAAAGUUUCGGCGGUUGGGGAUGGACUCGCGGCUUAUCAGCUUGUUGGUGGGGUAGUGGCUUACCAAGGCUUUGACGGGUAGCCGGCCUGAGAGGGUGACCGGCCACAUUGGGACUGAGAUACGGCCCAGACUCCUACGGGAGGCAGCAGUGGGGAAUAUUGCACAAUGGGCGGAAGCCUAAUGCAGCAACGCCGCGUGCGGGAUGACGGCCUUCGGGUUGUAAACCGCUUUCGCCUAUGACGAAGCGUGAGUGACGGUAAUGGGUAAAGAAGCACCGGCUAACUACGUG
rnacentral:rRNA from 1 species